ensembl:lncRNA
GUCAGAACACAUCCCCUGAUUAGUCUAAUGUCCAUUUUUAAUUCACAUUAAACAGCUGAUGGAAGCUUACACAGAUUCUUGAGCUGAAUUUUCAUUAAUGCAAAUAUCAAAUGCAAAUAAGUUUAAUGGAAACCUCGCUAGAGUCCUCCUGAUAGUCAAAGGUUCCCACUUCAGUGUCAGAAUUAAAUGUACAUAUGUAAUUCUUUCCUUUUCCCAGGCCGAUAUGAUCUCAACUUGCCAGAGUUGAAAUGUGAGGUAUGCGAAGCCACAUGGCAUGCUGGAGUGGAUGAGCUGGUCCAUAAUGACUUCUGGCCUGCUACUUCACAAUUUUCUACAGUAUAUGCUACAGACAUCCUAUUUUCCUUUGAGGAGUUGAAGAUGGCAGCACCUGGGAUGUCCAGCCUAGCAUUUCUUAGAAUGCUAGAUAAACGAACUGUCCGCUUUGGCCGUACUGGAAAGAUCAUAGCAGACAGCUUCAGAAAAAGCUUUUUGGAGUUGGAGGCAGUCCGAUUUGAAGUGGACAAACUCAUCCAGGAAGACCACUUUAACUGCCCAGCAUGCACCCCACACAUGCUUGCGGUCUCUGUUGAUGGAAACCGUAAGCACUAUAGAUUCAAGAGUGCAGCAAGGUACUUAAAAAAUCCAGUGUUUAGAUUGACAGUUCAUCAUUUUGAAAGUAACUUUGCUGUAAAAUCAUAAUGAAAAUCAUAUGAAUAUUAAAAGGCAAUAUGUGUUUCUUUUAGAUCAGAGGAACAAGCCAUCUUCGAUGGUGUAUUCAUAGCCAAGGACGAUGAUGUAGCAAGAUUCGUAGACUAUGUCCAUUCCUCAACCAGACAUGUAAACUUGCAAAACAUCACUAUAUUUACUUGUAAAACCAUGUCCUACAUAGGAGUUUGUUUGAACUGUUAGCCAUCUUCCAUGUUUUAGGCCUCUGGCAGAGGUGUCUGUGGGGGACAGUGGUCAGCAGCACGAGAAACGUCACAGAAGUCCUCCAGCAAAAUAGAUGAGGAGGGCCUAGAACUUGCAGUUUGCCGGCAUGGUGUUCUUCUUUGUGCCCUUAAUAAGUUCAGGGGGGAGGUUUUUGCUUACCCCCUGUACCUCCAGAAAAAAAUGGCUUGUAAGCCGGUGAAAUUCUUUGCUAUGGAUGUUGCGUGCAAGUACUGGCCUUACCUCCAGAGAGUGAAUGAGAGAUGCCCUGAGCUUCAAGAUCUGCUCUCCAUGAAGCCAUUUCUAUCAGUGUUUCAUGCCAAAGCCCACGACUUCAAAUGUGAGGUAAGAAAAUGUGACUUUUCAUGUGAUGUUCUUUCCCUAAACAUAAGAUUGUUGCCACUUAGAUUUAUUAUUUUUUUCUUUUUUAUUUGAAGGUAAAAUGGAGUGGGGCAUACCAGGAGGGGGCUGGUUUGACUCGUGGGGAGGAGGUGGAGCAAUGCAAUGCCUUCCUCUCGAGAAUUGCUGUUACCACAAAGCACAUGUCAAAAGCAGGUAAUGUAAACACACACAGUGUGUAACUAGUUUGAUCAAUCAAUCAAUCAAUCACCUUUAUUUAUAUAGUGCUUUAAACAAAAUACAUUGCGCCAAAGCACUGAACAACAUUCAUUUGGAAAACAGUGUCUCAAUAAUGCAAAAUGAUAGUUAAAGGCAGUUCAUCAUUGAAUUCAUUGAUGUCAUCUCUGUUCAGUUGAAAUAGUGUCUGUUUUAAUUUGCAAUCAAGUCAACGAUAUCGCUGUAGAUGAAGUGACCCCAACUAAGCAAGCCAGAGGCGACAGCGGCAAGGAACCGAAACUCCAUCGGUGACAGAAUGGAGAAAAAAACCUUGGGAGAAACCAGGCUCAGUUGGGGGGCCAGUUCUCCUCUGACCAGACGAAACCAGUAGUUCAAUUCCAGGCUGCAGCAAAGUCAGAUUGUGCAGAAGAAUCAUCUGUUUCCUGUGGUCUUGUCCUGGUGCUCCUCUGAGACAAGGUCUUUACAGGGGAUCUGUAUCUGGGGCUCUAGUUGUCCUGGUCUCCGCUGUCUUUCAGGGCAGUAGAGGUCCUUUCUAGGUGCUGAUCCACCAUCUGGUCUGGAUACGUACUGGAUCCGGGUGACUGCAGUGACCCUCUGAUCUGGACACAGACUGGAUCUGGUGGCCACGGUGACCUCGGAACAAGAGAGAAACAGACUAAUAUUAGUGUAGAUGCCAUUCUUCUAAUGAUGUAGUACAUCGGGUGUUAUGUGAAGUGUUCCGGUUCCAGUUUACCUAAUUAAUGCAGCCUAAAAAUCCUUUAACGGAUUUGGAUAUUAAAAGCAUAUUAGUAUGUUAUGUGUAUGCCGGGUUAAAGAGAUGGGUCUUUAAUCUAGAUUUAAACUGCAAGAGUGUGUCUGCCUCCCGAACAAUGUUAGGUAGGUUAUUCCAGAGUUUAGGCGCCAAAUAGGCGCCUAAACUCUUUGAUAAAGUGACUUUUCUCACACUUCUAUGAGAAGUGUUCAAACUACAGCAAAAUUUGAUCCU